UCCCUGGUGGCUCAGAGGUUAAAGCAUCUGCCUGGAAUGCUGGAGGCCCGGGUUCGAUCCCUGGGUCGGGAA
rfam:Ovis aries breed Texel chromosome 3, whole genome shotgun sequence.